rnacentral:rRNA from 1 species
GACGAACGCUGGCGGCGUGCUUAACACAUGCAAGUCGAACGGAAAGGCCCUGCUUUUGUGGGGUGCUCGAGUUGCGAACGGGUGAGUAACACGUGAGUAACCUGCCCUUGACUUUGGGAUAACUUCAGGAAACUGGGGCUAAUACCGGAUAGGAGCUCCUGCUGCAUGGUGGGGGUUGGAAAGUUUCGGCGGUUGGGGAUGGACUCGCGGCUUAUCAGCUUGUUGGUGGGGUAGUGGCUUACCAAGGCUUUGACGGGUAGCCGGCCUGAGAGGGUGACCGGCCACAUUGGGACUGAGAUACGGCGCAGACGCCUACGGGAGGCAGCAGGGGGGAAUAUUGCACAAUGGGCGGAAGCCUGAUGCAGCAACGCCGCGUGCGGGAUGACGGCCUUCGGGUUGUAAACCGCUUUCGCCUGUGACGAAGCGUGAGUGACGGUAAUGGGUAAAGAAGCACCGGCUAACUACGUG